rnacentral:rRNA from 1 species
CCUACGGGAGGCAGCAGUGGGGAAUAUUGCACAAUGGGCGCAAGCCUGAUGCAGCGACGCCGCGUGAGGGAUGACGGCCUUCGGGUUGUAAACCUCUUUCACCCAUGACGAAGCGCAAGUGACGGUAGUGGGAGAAGAAGCACCGGCCAACUACGUGCCAGCAGCCGCGGUAAU